AGCAUGCUAAAGUGCAACCAACCAAUACAUCAUUUGGACAAGCAACACAAGUUGUCCCACAGGCAGCUAAUGAUACUAGUUUGGGAAAUGAAUUACUCAGUGGAAGAAAAGAACUUCCAGCGGACCUUUUUACAUCAAGCUAUUCAUCAUUUGCUGCUGCAGUUCCAGGCUGGCAAUCCACUUCCCCUUAUGGAAUGGGAUAUGGCACUCAGUACCAUGUUACUGCAAUGUCCAUGGGAGCUCACCAAGAUUCGGUUAAAUCAAGGAACCCAUUUGAUAUUGGUGAUGAUGGUCC